UAAGCGCGGCGGUGGCGAUACGGACGAAACACCGAGCGCAUUUCACGCCACCACCGCCACUAUCUCGUUGAACGCGUGUCACCUGGCCGAUUGUGAGCUCUGCAGGCGAAUACACGUGGUGGGUACCUAUAUGUAAUGCGUACGACACGAUAAUAAUCCGUUUUAUCAUUUGCGAAUUGCACCGGUUCCGGUACCGAACGAGACGCCGAGCCGACACUUAUACGCAAUCAAUCACGAACAAACGAAAAAACCCGCCACCGGUGCAACUGCCGGCCGAACGUCUUUUAACACCACCACCGCCGCCACCAUCGACGACGACGACGAGUCACGACGAGCGCACUGUAGUCCGCCGGAAUGUUAUCGACGUUUAUCACAGGGACUGGGUAAACGUUUGAAUAUUGAAAUCAUCAUUUUGAUUUGGAAGGAGUGUCUUGUGAACUUCACAAAUAGUGGUCAGCCGAUCGUCUCAGUGACGUAAUAAUAAUGACUAAUCAAGCAGUUAUAGCGUAUUCUGUAGCUAUCCAUUUCGCUGCAACGAAUCCAUUUGACGACACUUAGGACCCAAUCGACAACAACUACCAGCCAACAGAACAAACAAGGUAUGGACCAACUUCGGAAAUACCUGGAAACAGCAACAACGCAGCCGACGACGCCAGAAGUAUCUCCUAACAUUCAUCUAUACCGUUUAGGUGAGUGAAAUUAUUUUUACCUGUGUGAGUGAUAUAUGGACUUUGAUGAGGACUACAUUAUACUAUAUUACCUACAAUAUUACUAUAUACAUUUUUUUUUUAAUUAGAGUCCAUUAUUCAUUAGCAAUCAGGUAUAUGUGAUUUUAAAAUAUUAAUUUUUACUGUAGAUACAUCACUGUAUCACAAUGUUUCUAUGCAAUAUUUUUAUUUAUUAUUAAACAUUUAGUUCUUUAUUUAUUAUUUAU